AGCGAACGCUGGCGGCAGGCUUAACACAUGCAAGUCGAGCGGGCAUCCUUGUGGUGUCAGCGGCAGACGGGUGAGUAACGCGUGGGAACGUGCCCUUCGGUUCGGCAUAACUCAGGGAAACUUGAGCUAAUACCGGAUACGUGCGAGAGCAGAAAGGUUUAUCUGCCGAAGGAUCGGCCCGCGUCUGAUUAGCUAGUUGGUGAGGUUAUGGCUCACCAAGGCGACGAUCAGUAGCUGGUCUGAGAGGAUGAUCAGCCACACUGGGACUGAGACACGGCCCAGACUCCUACGGGAGGCAGCAGUGGGGAAUAUUGGACAAUGGGGGCAACCCUGAUCCAGCCAUGCCGCGUGAGUGAUGACGGCCUUAGGGUUGUAAAGCUCUUUUCUCCGGGACGAUAAUGACGGUACCGGAGGAAUAAGCCCCGGCUAACUUCGUG
rnacentral:rRNA from 1 species